rnacentral:rRNA from 1 species
AACGAACGCUGGCGGCAGGCUUAACACAUGCAAGUCGAGCGCCCCGCAAGGGGAGCGGCAGACGGGUGAGUAACGCGUGGGAAUCUACCCGUCUCUACGGAAUAACGCAUGGAAACGUGUGCUAAUACCGUAUACGUCCUUCGGGAGAAAGAUUUAUCGGAGAUGGAUGAGCCCGCCUUGGAUUAGCUAGUUGGUGGGGUAAAGGCCUACCAAGGCGACGAUCCAUAGCUGGUCUGAGAGGAUGAUCAGUCACACUGGGACUGAGACACGGCCCAGACUCCUACGGGAGGCAGCAGUGGGGAAUAUUGGACAAUGGGCGCAAGCCUGAUCCAGCCAUGCCGCGUGAGUGAUGAAGGCCCUAGGGUUGUAAAGCUCUUUCACCGGUGAAGAUAAUGACGGUAACCGGAGAGGAAGCCCCGGCUAACUUCGUGCCAGCCGCCGCGGUAACAC